AGUAUGUGCUUAGCCAGAAAUGUAUAACUCGCCCAGCGCUGACAGCUGCUUGUCACUUAGUAACUUCUUUCCAAGUUUUUUUUUUUCUUUCAAAGCCCUGCUUCUAUCUUGCUUUGUUUUUUUAAAAUAUGCAUGUCUCUCAGGAAUGCCAGUCACGAGUCCAAACUUUGUGUCCAACCUCCCACAUGAAAUGAUCCUUUUAUAGGGAACCCGAUAUGUCUCAAUCGGCAGAGCACUCAAUGCCUUUGGGCAUGGGGGCACUAGUGUUUUAAAAAUAAUCAUACCUAAUAACGGAAGAGAAAACUAGUUUUACAUACGAUCCUCAAGAUCUUCUCACGGUGAAGAAACAUAACAUACACCAUUAAAGGAUGCAACAGCCAGAAGGGAAGUCUUCCAAAAAAAUCACGCCUGCAGAAGAGAGGAUCGAAGACAAAGGUGCGUUUUUCGGGCCAAAACACAGGAGGGGGGGGAAGAGAAACAAACAGGAGAAAGCGCUUACUUUAACAUAAUCGCAUUUCCAACUCAAGGCGUUUUAAAAUUAUGCAUUUCAAUGGACUUCCCUUGCUAAUAAUCUGAGUUGAUAUCAGCAGAUAAGCAAACUGUCAAGAGAGGUUUGAUUUCAUUCCGGAUAUCUGAGUAUAGGGCUCGGAUCACUUUUCCUAUAGACUCAAUUUCACUCUGCACUUCGGAGUUAGCCAAGCGGUAGCAACAGGCUUCUCUUUAGUGCUCUGUCCCGUUGUAUUCCCUACUUCACUUCCACAUACAGAUCGCAUUUCUUAAUAUUCCUGCCGUGUUUUAUGGUCACUGAUUCUGGAGUCAUUUUGACGAACUAAUGUUUCACAUGGGUCACUUUAUUUUAUUGGUCCGGGGUUUUAAGUCUUCGGCUGAGUUAAAGUGACUUGUUAACAGGAGAGGCAGCGCACACAACGAAAAACUGUUCAGAGCCACUUUCCAUGGCAACAGCUUUCCAUCAAUCCCACGACAAUGACACACAAAGGACCAUAUUCACAAACAUGUACCUCGGCGCUAAGUCACCUGUUUAAAAAAUAAAUAAAUACAUAAAUAAAUAAAGCAAAUAAUGAUUCAUCUAACUUGAUGUUUCUUGCUCGUUUUGUAACAUUUUUUACUGAAUAAAAACAGAUACAUUACAAUGAGUACAGAAUGUCUCACAUUUGCUGCACAAUAAUAAUCCUCAUUCUUUUUAUUUUGAUCACUCUUUAAAAUCAACCAUUCAUGUUUCUAUUUGUUUAAUAAAAUUACAUAAAAUAUUCAAACAAACAAAAUCAUUUCAGAUACAGCAGUAUAUUUUGUCAUGAAUUAAAAAAAAAUACAAUUCAAUUACUGUACUUAGGUAAAUCAGAGAGAAUACAACCUAAAGCAGGCAGGCUACAGAGAAGCAAAAUAAUUACAACAAAAAGUGAAACGAAGCAAUUGUUGGAAAUAACAUAUACCAUUCAUUGCAAUCAUUGAACAUGCUUGUUGAUAAACCAUCACCCAAAAAAAACAAACACCAAAAGUCUAGUCUGUAUUUAUGGAUAUUUUGUAAUUCUGUAACAUAUAAAUCUAAAUGUUUAUAACUUGUAAUUUCUACAAACCAAGUUAAGCAAAAAUGAGUUCGGUAUAAGUUGUCACCAGCAUUGCAUAAAAAGUACAAACCACUGUAUUAAAAUGGUGGCGUUUUUAUUUGCUUGUAUAUGUAAGAAAUCACUGCUGGUAAACUGUAGCAAUUAUCAAUAAAAGUUUUAUUACUG